rnacentral:sRNA from 1 species
GCGAUGAGCUGUUUGUGUAAGACGAAGUACAUGCUUCCGAGGAAGCUAAACGACGAUGUGGCGUCGGUAUAUUCGCAACAAAAGUCGAAGAGCCUUCCCCUAGGGAAGGCUC